rnacentral:pre_miRNA from 2 species
UCUUAUGAAUGAGCAAAGAAAGUGGUUUCUUGAAAUGGAAUUCACUUCUGGCAAAGAUGUUGUGAA